rnacentral:rRNA from 1 species
AAAUUGAAGAGUUUGAUCAUGGCUCAGAUUGAACGCUGGCGGCAGGCCUAACACAUGCAAGUCGAGCGGUAGCACAGAGAGCUUGCUCUCGGGUGACGAGCGGCGGACGGGUGAGUAAUGUCUGGGAAACUGCCUGAUGGAGGGGGAUAACUACUGGAAACGGUAGCUAAUACCGCAUAACGUCGCAAGACCAAAGUGGGGGACCUUCGGGCCUCAUGCCAUCAGAUGUGCCCAGAUGGGAUUAGCUAGUAGGUGGGGUAACGGCUCACCUAGGCGACGAUCCCUAGCUGGUCUGAGAGGAUGACCAGCCACACUGGAACUGAGACACGGUCCAGACUCCUACGGGAGGCAGCAGUGGGGAAUAUUGCACAAUGGGCGCAAGCCUGAUGCAGCCAUGCCGCGUGUGUGAAGAAGGCCUUCGGGUUGUAAAGCACUUUCAGCGGGGAGGAAGGCGUUAAGGUUAAUAACCUUGGCGAUUGACGUUACCCGCAGAAGAAGCACCGGCUAACUCCGUGCCAGCAGCCGCGGUAAUACGGAGGGUGCAAGCGUUAAUCGGAAUUACUGGGCGUAAAGCGCACGCAGGCGGUCUGUCAAGUCGGAUGUGAAAUCCCCGGGCUUAACCUGGGAACUGCAUUCGAAACUGGCAGGCUAGAGUCUUGUAGAGGGGGGUAGAAUUCCAGGUGUAGCGGUGAAAUGCGUAGAGAUCUGGAGGAAUACCGGUGGCGAAGGCGGCCCCCUGGACAAAGACUGACGCUCAGGUGCGAAAGCGUGGGGAGCAAACAGGAUUAGAUACCCUGGUAGUCCACGCCGUAAACGAUGUCGAUUUGGAGGUUGUGCCCUUGAGGCGUGGCUUCCGGAGCUAACGCGUUAAAUCGACCGCCUGGGGAGUACGGCCGCAAGGUUAAAACUCAAAUGAAUUGACGGGGGCCCGCACAAGCGGUGGAGCAUGUGGUUUAAUUCGAUGCAACGCGAAGAACCUUACCUGGUCUUGACAUCCACAGAACUUAGCAGAGAUGCUUUGGUGCCUUCGGGAACUGUGAGACAGGUGCUGCAUGGCUGUCGUCAGCUCGUGUUGUGAAAUGUUGGGUUAAGUCCCGCAACGAGCGCAACCCUUAUCCUUUGUUGCCAGCGGUCCGGCCGGGAACUCAAAGGAGACUGCCAGUGAUAAACUGGAGGAAGGUGGGGAUGACGUCAAGUCAUCAUGGCCCUUACGACCAGGGCUACACACGUGCUACAAUGGCAUAUACAAAGAGAAGCGACCUCGCGAGAGCAAGCGGACCUCAUAAAGUAUGUCGUAGUCCGGAUUGGAGUCUGCAACUCGACUCCAUGAAGUCGGAAUCGCUAGUAAUCGUAGAUCAGAAUGCUACGGUGAAUACGUUCCCGGGCCUUGUACACACCGCCCGUCACACCAUGGGAGUGGGUUGCAAAAGAAGUAGGUAGCUUAACCUUCGGGAGGGCGCUUACCACUUUGUGAUUCAUGACUGGGGUGAAGUCGUAACAAGGUAACCGUAGGGGAACCUGCGGUUGGAUCACCUCCUUACCUUAAAGAA